AUUGAACGCUGGCGGCAUGCCUAACACAUGCAAGUCGAACGAUUCGCGGACGGGUGAGUAAUGUCUGGGAAACUGCCCGAUGGAGGGGGAUAACUACUGGAAACGGUAGCUAAUACCGCAUACCAUCGGAUGUGCCCAGAGGGGAUUAGCUAGUAGGUGGGGUAAAGGCUCACCUAGGCGACGAUCCCUAGCUGUGCUGAGAGGAUGAUCAGCCACACUGGAACUGAGACACGGUCCAGACUCCUACGGGAGGCAGCAGUGGGGAAUAUUGCACAAUGGGGGCAAGCCUGAUGCAGCCAUGCCGCGUGUAUGAAGAAGGCCUUAGGGUUGUAAAGUACUUUCAGCGGGGAGGCGUUACCCGCAGAAGAAGCACCGGCUAACUCCGUGCCAGCAGCCGCGGUAAUUC
rnacentral:rRNA from 1 species